rfam:Ciona savignyi cont_60476, whole genome shotgun sequence.
GCCCGGUUAGCUCAGCCGGUAGAGCGUUGAACUUUUAAUCCAAAGGCCAAGGGUUCAAAUCCCUUAUCGGGCU